rnacentral:rRNA from 1 species
UACAGAGGGUGCAAGCGUUAUUCGGAAUUAUUGGGCGUAAAGAGCGUGUAGGUGGUUGAGUAAGUUUGAUGUGAAAGCCCUAGUCUCAAGCUAGGAAGUGCAUUGAAUACUACUCGGCUAGAGUACAGGAGAGGUUAGUGGAAUUCCAGGUGUAGAGGUGAAAUUCGUAGAUAUCUGGAGGAACAACAGUGGCGAAGGCGACUAACUGGACUGUAACUGACACUAAGGCGCGAAAGCGUGGGGAGCAAACAGG